GACGAACGCUGGCGGCGUGCCUAAUACAUGCAAGUUGAGCGAUGAAGAUUGGUGCUUGCACCAAUUUGAAGAGCAGCGAACGGGUGAGUAACGCGUGGGGAAUCUGCCUUUGAGCGGGGGACAACAUUUGGAAACGAAUGCUAAUACCGCAUAACAACUUUAAACAUAAGUUUUAAGAUUGAAAGAUGCAAUUGCAUCACUCAAAGAUGAUCCCGCGUUGUAUUAGCUAGUUUGUGAGGUAAAGGCUCACCAAGGCGAUGAUACAUAGCCGACCUGAGAGGGUGGUCGGCCACAUUGGGACUGAGACACGGCCCAAACUCCUACGGGAGGCAGCAGUAGGGAAUCUUCGGCAAUAGACGAAAGUCUGACCGAGCAACGCCGCGUGAGUGAAGAAGGUUUUCGGAUCGUAAAACUCUGUUGGUAGAGAAGAACGUUGGUGAGAGUGGAAAGCUCAUCAAGUGACGGUAACUACCCAGAAAGGGACGGCUAACUACGUG
rnacentral:rRNA from 1 species